rnacentral:rRNA from 1 species
UACGAAGGGUGCAAGCGUUACUCGGAAUCACUGGGCGUAAAGCGUGCGUAGGCGGUUCGUUAAGUCCGUUGUGAAAGCCCCGAGCUCAACUUGGGAAUUGCAGUGGAUACUGGCAAGCUGGAGUGCGGUAGAGGAAGGUGGAAUUCCCGGUGUAGCGGUGAAAUGCGUAGAGAUCGGGAGGAACACCAGUGGCGAAGGCGGCCUUCUGGACCAGCACUGACACUCAAGCACGAAAGCGUGGGGAGCAAACAGGG